GAUGAACGCUGGCGGCGUGCCUAAUACAUGCAAGUCGAGCGAACGGACGAGAAGCUUGCUUCUCUGAUGUUAGCGGCGGACGGGUGAGUAACACGUGGAUAACCUACCUAUAAGACUGGGGUAAGUUCGGGAAACCGGAGCUAAUACCGGAUAAUAUUUUGAACCGCAGGGUUCAAAAGUGAAAGACGGUCUUGCUGUCACUUAUAGAUGGAUCCGCGCUGCAUUAGCUAGUUGGUAAGGUAACGGCUUACCAAGGCAACGAUGCGUAGCCGACCUGAGAGGGUGAUCAGCCACACUGGAACUGAGACACGGUCCAGACUCCUACGGGAGGCAGCAGUGGGGAAUAUUCCGCAAUGGGCGAAAGCCUGACGGAGCAACGCCGCGUGAGUGAUGAAGGUCUUCGGAUCGUAAAGCUCUGUUAUUAGGGAAGAACAUAUGUGUAAGUAACUGUGCACAUCUUGACGGUACCUAAUCAGAAAGCCACGGCUAACUACGUG
rnacentral:rRNA from 1 species